ensembl:ncRNA B0457.8 ncRNA
AGUCUCUACACCAAAAAAUGCACAUCAGAUUAGGGAAAAUAGGCGAUAAGACGGAUGGAUGGGUACCGGAAGCUCCUAAACUCGUCACUCGGUAGAGAUUCGAUCAACCGGAAUACGAGAGAA